rnacentral:misc_RNA from 1 species
CAAGAGAGGGCGCGCAGACUCUUGAAAGGAACUAAAGGGGAAAAACGAGAGAGAGGGACCCAGUGCUGAUACGGCGUAGGCACGCACACGCACGCGUGCUGCAGGCGUGGUGAGCGCGGGAACGGGGCGAACAAGAACCGCGCGAUUACGGCUACAAAAACGUCAGGGAAAGGAAACGGGAGAGAACCGAAAGAGGUGUGCGGUGCUCCGGCAACCGCAAGAUGCAGCAGCAGCCACGUCGCUGCAGCCGCGGCUCUGUAUCUCCCUCUUGUGAGGGGUACAGCUAUGUAAAGGCGAUCAUCGUGGAGGAGGGAGAAGAGGGAGGAAAGGAGGAUGGGGUGGGCAUGGGCGAGGACAGAGGUCCAAGUGUCGGCGGCGGCGACGGUGGCACCAGCUGCGUCAGCAACUCGCCCCUUACUUCCAGUUCGGGCGUCAGCGUUCACGAAGCCCACCCACCGCGGGCGGCGGCCACAGUGGCAACGGCUCCACUGGGGCUAAUCGCGUCGGGCUUAGACGAACCUCUGUUCAGUCAGCAGGCGCACCCCCUCCCCACGAAGAGCAGAGUGACUGAGGCGCCGCAAACCCCGCCACCACUACUACAUCCAGUUGUCGGUGGCGCCACCAGGGCUGUGGACGCUGGUGAUAGGACAAGCACGGCACGAAUCAUGCGACUAGAUCCCGUCGCGCCCUCCUGGCCCUCUUCUUCGGCUCCCCAUGCGGCGACCCAUCACACGCUGCGCCUCCGACCCUCUGCCGCCUUACUGCAGCCCCCGCCAAGCACGCCGCAGCUGCGCGAGCACGUAGACGAAGAGGUGUGGGCGCCGCCUUCAAAGCGUCUGCGCCCACACCUGAGCAGCCCCACUGCCCCUCCGGCGAUGCCUCCUUCGGCAACGGCACCUGGUGGGCUCAGCACUACAGGAGUCGGCGGCAGCCGCUGCCGCGUCUUGCGGCUGCCGCUGCCGAGCAGCAAUGCCGCUCCCGCCGACACCGCAACGGCGCCAGCACAUACGCCAGCGUCAGUUGCCGUUGCGGGCAGUGGCAGUCGUGAGGGUGUGGCCACCGCAAGCACCAACGUCUCCGCGCGUGGUGAGGCGCUUAAGGAGGGCAGAGGAGAAGCACUAGAAGAGUCAGAGAGCACAAGAAAGACCAACGAGGAGGCGCAACGUGCGUUAGACACGCCUGCCGAUGGCCCUUUGCGUGUCUCACCGGCGUCGCCAGCCGGCGCCACCAUCCCUAACCCUGAGGCGACUGGCAUCGGUGCCGUGCCUGUGUCAGCGAGCGCGGCGCCGCGCCCAACGCCGUUCCUCACAAGCACUCCCUCGCGCGCCGUGUCUGUCAACGCACCAAACGCCGGGUCGCCCCUGACCGCCACCGUGGGGUCGGCCGUUUCGCAGCAGCCGCAGCAGACCCGGUCGGCCGCACCCGUCGCGAUGGGGACAAGCGGCUUCUCACGCCUACGCUCGCUUACACCCACGCCGUAUCCCGGCACGCAAGGGUCUCCAUACCGUCGUCACCGCUUUGUGGGGGUGAACCUCCCCGGUGCUCCGCCACCGUCCAUUGACUUCAGCUCCAUUCAGCGCACCGUGAAGGAAGUCUAUGAAGUGCACGAGAAGCUCAGCGAGGGCACGUACGGCGAGGUGUUCAAGGGCGUCGACAAGCGAACCGGCGCUGCGGUGGCGCUGAAGCGCAUCAAGAUGCUGAGCACCCAUCAAGGAUUUCCCCAGACCUCGCUGCGGGAGGUGAUUGCCCUUCGGCACAUCCAGAACCAGCGCGAGCGGCUCGAAGAACGACUGCGCAACGACGCGCAUCACCGUGGCGCGGUGGCCAUCACGGAUCCUCUCGCUGAGGUCUCGCAACUGUGUGAUGUUCUCCUCUACGAUCGGCAGCAGCGCGACAUUGUGUUGGUGUUCGCGUACGCCACAGCGAGUCUGGCUGGCCUGUGUCGCCGCCAGUUCGCCUUCACACCAUCGGAGAUGGCCCUUCUCAUGAAGAAGCUUCUCAUCGCGGUGCGCAAGCUGCACGAGAUGCGCAUCAUUCACCGGGACAUCAAGUCUGACAACGUACUCGUAACGAGUGAGGGCGAGGUGCAGCUGACCGACUUUGGGCUGUGCUCCAUCGCAGCGCCUGGGUCGUCGCGAUCUGGCACGCAUGUGUGGCGGACGCCGAGCGUGAUUACUCUGGCCUACCGUCCGCCAGAGAUGCUGUUGGGCAGUACCGCGUAUGAUGAGAAGGUCGAUGUGUGGUCGCUUGGGUGCCUGCUCGCUCAGAUGUUCCUCCUCGAGCCCCCCUUCUACAGGCACCGCGCGCAGGCGCAGCAGCAGCAGCAACGUGCUCCAGAGCGAUCGGCGGCCACGGAGCUCGAGCAGCUCUCCCGCAUUACAGAGAUUCUGGGGCCACUGCCGCCGGUGAGCGUUUAUCACCCGGACUCGUGUCAGCACAUGCGGGUUCUAGAGCAGCUGGAAGUGCAGGGGCGCCUGGCGGAGGCUGGGCGAGCAGCACAACCGGCAAACUGGGGCAGGCUGCAGACCAUCUUCGAGCCCAGCUUUCUGUAUCAGCAGUUCCACGGCUUUCGGGGCUGGUUUGAGGCGGAGUUGGGGCGCUCGCGGCACCAGCCACAUCGUCGGCCCACGCAGGCAUGCAUGGAUGUGCUCUGCGCGGCCCUGCAACUCGACCCGCAGCAGCGUCCCACCGCGGCAGAGCUGCUGCGCAUGCCGUACUUUACCACCUUGGACGACGCCCCGUUGCUGGGCAGCUAUCAACGGGUCCUCCCCGUCACCCCGGAGCGGGAAGCUGAGGUACGCCGCGGUUUCAUGGCAAAGGUGCAACGAUGCGGGGACAGUCACACGCAGCGCCGCCCGCAUCAGUGACACACCACACGAGCGCAAGCGCAGCAGCAACAGGCCAGAGGAACCUAGACAGUGCAAGACGCGAGUUUGUGUGCAUGUGCGGUUCCCCAGCGGAUUGGUUUCAGUGGCGCCCCACACGCUCUAAAGUCAAGGAAUGAAAAAGGUGUCGUGUGUGUGUGUGUGUGUUUUGGCUCCUCUUCUUUGCACAUAACGGCAGCAGUCGCGCCUACAGGAGACGAGGAAAGCACCGGCGCGUCGCGCACCCACAUCCGGGCGAUGGUCGUCUGCCGGAAAAAGAGGGGGAGGGAGCGAUACAGGGAGGGGAGACGUGUUCAUGCGUAGUUGUUGCUUGCCUUUUGGAAGUCCGCCUUCGCAACUCACCCAUCGUUGCGGACGCGUGCAGAGGUGGUGGGGCGGGCGUGAGCGUGAGCGUGAGCGUUUUCUCUGUCGUCGUGCUUUACAUCCUUUUCUCUCUGCGGGUGUGUGCGUAGGCAGCCAAUCGCCAUCCGUCCUCUUCACCGCCACACCCUCUCGGUCUGUGGGAUUGGUGGCUUCGGUGUGCCUCUCCUGCCGCAGCACGGCGUGCGCCACCUUGCUUCCGACACACCUGUGGCCCGCCCUACCCUGCGAAAGCACAAGAAACCGAAAAAAAAAAAUACUAGU